rnacentral:rRNA from 1 species
UAGGGAAUCUUCCACAAUGGACGCAAGUCUGAUGGAGCAACGCCGCGUGAGUGAAGAAGGCUUUCGGGUCGUAAAACUCUGUUAUUGAAGAAGAACGUGCGUGACAGUAACUGGUCAUGCAGUGACGGUAUUCAAUCAGAAAGUCACGGCUAACUACGUGCCAGCAGCCGCGGUAAUACGUAGGUGGCAAGCGUUGUCCGGAUUUAUUGGGCGUAAAGCGAGUGCAGGCGGUCUUUUAAGUCUGAUGUGAAAGCCUUCGGCUUAACCGAAGAAGGGCAUCGGAAACUGGGAGACUUGAGUGCAGAAGAGGAGAGUGGAACUCCAUGUGUAGCGGUGAAAUGCGUAGAUAUAUGGAAGAACACCAGUGGCGAAGGCGGCUCUCUGGUCUGUAACUGACGCUGAGGCUCGAAAGCGUGGGUAGCAAAACAGGAUU